CGUUAAUCGGAAUUACGGGGCGGAAAGCGUGCGCAGGCGGUUCGGAAAGAGAGGUGUGAAAUCCCAGGGCUUAACCUUGGAACUGCACUUUUAACUACCGGGCUAGAGUACGUCAGAGGGGGGUAGAAUUCCACGUGUAGCAGUGAAAUGCGUAGAGAUGUGGAGGAAUACCGAUGGCGAAGGCAGCCCCCUGGGAUGAUACUGACGCUCAUGCACGAAAGCGUGGGGAGCAAACAGG
rnacentral:rRNA from 1 species